rnacentral:rRNA from 1 species
UACAGAGGGGGCAAGCGUUGUUCGGAAUUACUGGGCGUAAAGGGCGCGUAGGCGGCCUUCUAAGUCGAACGUGAAAGCCCCGGGCUUAACCUGGGAAUGGCGAUGGAUACUGGCUCGCUAGAGUGCGGUAGAGGAGAGUGGAAUUCCCGGUGUAGCAGUGAAAUGCGUAGAGAUCGGGAGGAACAUCAGUUGCGAAGGCGGCUCUCUGGACCAGCACUGACACUGAGGCACGAAAGCGUGGGGAGCAAACAGG